rnacentral:rRNA from 1 species
AUUGAACGCCGGCGGCAUGCUUUACACAUGCAAGUCGAACGGCAGCGCGGGCUUCGGCCUGGCGGCGAGUGGCGAACGGGUGAGUAAUGCAUCGGAACGUGCCCAGUAGUGGGGGAUAGCCCGGCGAAAGCCGGAUUAAUACCGCAUACGACCUGAGGGUGAAAGCGGGGGACCGAAAGGCCUCGCGCUAUUGGAGCGGCCGAUGUCGGAUUAGCUAGUUGGUGGGGUAAAGGCUUACCAAGGCGACGAUCCGUAGCUGGUCUGAGAGGACGACCAGCCACACUGGGCCUGAGACACGGCCCAGACUCCUACGGGAGGCAGCAGUGGGGAAUUUUGGACAAUGGGGGCAACCCUGAUCCAGCCAUGCCGCGUGCGGGAAGAAGGCCUUCGGGUUGUAAACCGCUUUUGUUCGGGAAGAAAUCCUCUGGGCUAAUACCCCGGGGGGAUGACGGUACCGGAAGAAUAAGCACCGGCUAACUACGUG